CGGACAUAUAAAUUUGCCAGCAGAACUAGUGGUCAAUAUUUGUCUCAUAAAUCUUUCGGUUUCUUAAUAGAGACAAAGCGCAACUGAGCAUCUGGGUCGAAAACCAUUGAAGGGGCUGAAAAUGUUUUUCACCUUACCCUCGGGAUGGUCUCUUAGCUGGAGGAUCUAUUUGUUGACCAGUCUGGCCAUUCUGUGCUAAAGGUUCAAUGCUCUAUACACAGUGUAUGUGUUUCCUGAGGUGGCCAAGCACUCAACAGGUGAGUGUAUUGGCAGUCUUUUGAAGAUACCAAAGCGAUCUUAUCAAAAAUACAUUGAUGUGUUUUAAUUGUGCAUAAAGUUCAUAGAGUGAAUAUUUUCUUUAUUUUAAUUUGUUUGCUUUGUUUGACAGUUCAAGCUUUGUCUCAGCUGCUAAUUCUAUCCACCAAGACCACCACAAAGAGCACAGCCUAUAAUGCUCUAUAAUGCUUAUUUUGUGAAAUAAAAGUCAACGUCUCUUAAUACUUUUGAAAUGAAAUUGUCAGGAAAGGUUGUUUGUUCUGUCUGCUGGCUGUUUUGUUUCUGGUUCUACAGCUUCUCCACCAAAGGGCAACUGCAGUCGCCUGCUGGGUUGAGCAUGCCUCCUCCUCCUGCACCUUCUCACAGGUGCAGCUCAUCUGAGGCAAUCACGCUUACUCACCUGGCAGCAUAUAAAGAACUGGAAGUCAGUCGCUAGUCGCCUGAGUGUUAACCGUCACUGGUAACAUCAAGCCAUCUCUGAGCCUUUUUCUGAGCAUUUUUCUAAGCCUUUAAAAGGUUACCUCGCCCCAUCCCGGACAUUCGUGCUCACCUGUGGACCUGCCUCUGUGAUUCCAAACUUUCUGUGGAUCUAUGGAUUUCAUUCCCACGACUGGCUUCCACCCUGCUGCACUACCUGUCCGCUCAGCACUGCUGCAGUUCUGAAGCACUUUCUGGAUUCCACCUCCGCCACAGGCAAACAGACCAACUAUUCAUUCACUGGACUACCUGCAUCAUCACCUCCAACAACCUUUUGCUUGGAUUUGGAACAAUAUUCUUACAUCUGCUAUAGUCAGACUUUCUGGAGAAGUGAGGAACAGAAGUUUCAUUUGGUACUAUUAAUUCUGUGAUUAAAGCCAAUACUAAAAACUGGUAAAAAAAAUGUUUACCACCAAUUGUCACUUUCCCAUUUACUGCACUUGCACUGCAGUGUUGGAAUACACUUGGCAGCUGAACUGUUAGUGAACUGGACAAUUUAGGCACAUGGCACAUCAACAAAUGUGACAGACUCCCUGGGCAGUUUACUAGUCCAGGAUUCCUUGAACUUUUGAGACACAUAAGACAUUAAAACGACAUUUAGGGGAGUACAGCAUAUUGGUUAAAAAAUUCUGGUGGGGUACUUAUCUCAACCAAGUGUCUUUUGCUUGAUCAUGCAAUCGAAUUGCUGCAAAGCCAAAGAAACUGGAUAAAAUUGGCAUAGGCUUUUUUUUCAUUCAUGUGAUAAACAGAUUUGCAGUUUUAGAUUUAAAAUCAAAUUGGACUGUAUGUUACUUAAUUAGAAUCUGUCCGUAUGUUUGGAGUAUAUGCAUUUUUUAUUUCUAUUUAAUGGGAUAUGAAUUUGAUCUGUUUGUCAAGUGCCUUGACAAAACAUUUUCUCUCUUCCUGUAAAAAGGAAAAAAAAAAUAUUUUUUAUGUAAAGGUGUAUGUUCCUAUUUUUUUAUGUUCUGUGGCCAUAUUCUCUGUGUGAAUGUGAAAAAAUUUCCAGCCAGGAGCUGUGAUGAAGGACAAGAGUGGGAUAGGAACAGAGAUAUUGCAUGGGUGCUUUGCUGCUCCCUCAGCCCUGUAUUGUGGCAGACCAUCAAAGGCGAGCAGAUAAGGUCUCACACAUGCUUCAAGUUUGGUGAAUUGACAGUGAGCUGGUCAGAAACAAAUGCUGUGGUCUGGUGGGAGGAGCAGACAUCACUCUUUUCAUCUCCUGUCAUCCUCUGUUUCCUACAGCAGUACGAUUUAUACUAGAGUAGCAGCGUGUAAUUUGUAUGACUAAUGUGCUUCCCUCUCAUUCUGAUCACCACCCACCAUCUAUGAGCUAAAAAAAAAAACUGUACAAAAAGAAAUGGAAUUAAGCUCUGCCAAAGGGAACAAGCUAGUCAGACAUAGAACACAGUAGGAAAAAAUGUAUAUGUAACAGUACUUCUACCAUUAAAUUGAAUUACUUUGAUUGCAAGUGUGUGGCACAAUCUGUUUUGUAACACAUAACUGUUGUGGUAAGUUAUAAAUUUUAUCAGAUUUUACUUUCUUUCGCAAACUUUGUUUUUCUUGAGGUUUUCACUCACAGACACACGUUUUUAGAUAUUAUGUCAGACUAACUUUUUUAAAUAAAGUUAGAAUUAUUAAAAUUGCUUCUAAUUUGCAAAUGCCAGAAUAAAAGAAAAGAUGAUUUUCUUUUUCAUUUUUCUAAAUUCAGGAGGUCACAUACAUUUCCUCAGUAUUUGGUCAAAUUGUGUUUUAAACCGUAUGACUUGUAUCAAGCAUUGUGUAUAUUCUUUCACCAGUUUUCCACAAUAUGCGCAAGUUUGCAAGAAUUUUAACCCAUUCCUUCUAACAGAACUGGUGAAACUGAGUUGGACAUUCUAUGCUUGUCUUGCGUAGCGUGUAAGCUCUGCUCGCCAAUUAUCUAAGGGACUGAGAUCAGAGCUUUUCAAUGGGCACUCCACAACAUUUACUUUGUUGUUCUUAAGCCAAUUAGUAAUUAAUUUGGCAUCAUGAUUAGGGUUAUUGUCAAUUUGAAAGUGCUUUCUCUUCCUGCCUGGUGUAUUGAGAUGUUGCUCCAAUAGUUCCACAAAAUAUUUUUCCUUGUGAAGUGCACCAUACCAUCCUGAUACAAUAGCUAGACAGUUUGGAUGGUGUUCUCAGGCUAGGAGACUUCCCCGUUUUCCUCCAAAUGGAACAGUGACCAUUGUGGCCAAACACCUCAAUUGUAAGUUCAUUAGACUACAGGACAUGGUUUCCUAAAUGAAGGCCUUUCUCCUGAGUGUAUUUGCCAACUGUAAUUUAUCCCAUUAUUUUUCUUUUGGAGGAAUGUCUCCUUUCUCCCUGAAUGUCCUUUUAGCCCAUGUUAGUGAAGGGCUAAUUUUACUGUGGGUAAUGGGGUAAUGACACUCUCCUACAAGCUUUAGUCAUCAUCUUCUAAAGUUCUUUUGCUUUGGUUCUUUCUGCUUUCUGCUCUCGAUGGAGGAGGAUGCUUUUUCUCUGUCUCCCACCCCCUCCCAUAUCUGCCCUGCUUCAGCUCUGUGUCUUGUCUUUGGAGCCUC